CCAAGAAAGGUCCCAGUUCCACACACGAGGCCGCACCUCCACCCACCUACCAGCACCAAGAAAGGUCCCAGUUCCACACAUGAGAGGCUGCACCUCCACCCACCUACCAGCACCAAGAAAGGUCCCAGUUCCACACGAGAGGCUGCACCUCCACCCACCUACCAGCACCAAGAAAGGUCCCAGUUCCACACGAGAGGCUGCACCUCCACCCACCUACCAGCACCAAGAAAGGGCCCAGUUCCACACACGAGAGGCUGCACCUCCACCCACCUACCAGCACCAAGAAAGGUCCCAGUUCCACACAUGAGAGGCUGCACCUCCACCCACCUACCAGCACCAAGAAAGGUCCCAGUUCCACACACGAGGCCGCACCUCCACCCACCUACCAGCACCAAGAAAGGUCCCAGUUCCACACAUGAGAGGCUGCACCUCCACCCACCUACCAGCACCAAGAAAGGUCCCAGUUCCACACAUGAGAGGCUGCACCUCCACCCACCUACCAGCACCAAGAAAGGUCCCAGUUCCACACAUGAGAGGC